CAGUCGCCGCGGUAAAACGUAGGGUGCGAGCGUUAAUCGGAAUUACUGGGCGUAAAGCGUGCGCAGGCGGUUCGUUAAGACAGAUGUGAAAUCCCCGGGCUUAACCUGGGAACUGCAUUUGUGACUGGCGAGCUAGAGUAUGGCAGAGGGGGGUAGAAUUCCACGUGUAGCAGUGAAAUGCGUAGAGAUGUGGAGGAAUACCGAUGGCGAAGGCAGCCCCCUGGGCCAAUGCUGACGCUCAUGCACGAAAGCGUGGGGAGCAAACAGGAUUAGAUACCCCCGUAGUCCCUGUCUCUUAUAC
rnacentral:rRNA from 1 species